UUGUUUGGAGAGUUUGAUCCUGGCUCAGGACGAACGCUGGCGGCGUGCUUAACACAUGCAAGUCGAGCGGAAAGGCCCUUCGGGGUACUCGAGCGGCGAACGGGUGAGUAACACGUGAGUAACCUGCCCCCGACUCUGGGAUAAGCCCGGGAAACUGGGUCUAAUACCGGAUACGACCACUUCCCGCAUGGGAUGGUGGUGGAAAGUCUUUUCGGUUGG
rnacentral:rRNA from 1 species